AUUGCCUAUCUCUUUCUUCUCCCCUCGGUUGUCCCCCAUGAAAACACAACCUCCAAAUCGCUAGGGUUCACCAUUCCUCGUCGUCGUCGCCACCCGUCCCAACCUCGGCCAUUGGCGGCUCGACCGUCGCCGGCCGGCAAAUCAGAGGCGAUGCGGCCGUAAUCUCCCUUUCCUGGAGCCCAAAGGCGCAGCCGCCGCAUCUGCUGCAUCCUCCACCGACCACUCCCAUCAUCGGACCGCCUCCACCCGCCCCAACCCCGGCCACCGUCCACUCGGAUCUCAGCCGUUGCUAUAUAUGAUGUUUGUUCCUUUCACGGAUGCAAUUGGUCAUAGGGCAACCAAAUACUUGACAUGAUUCAUAUUGAGGAAAGGAAGAAGUAGUUUCUCCUCAUGUCUACUGUCAUGUGUUAGCAUCCUUAUUUAUGACCUUGUUUGAAUUUGUGUGCAAUGCAAUGAUAAAACUUGUGGCAUGGUUGUUUAUUCUGUGAUGGCAGCAAUAGAGUAUGAUUGUAUUUCACCAUGACCAUAUAUUUUCCAAUCAAAGGAUGGUCUCAUGUAAUAUAUAAUUAAUAACAUAUGUUAUAAUGAGUUCAAAAGUAUUGUCA